rnacentral:misc_RNA from 1 species
GAGUGGUUUUCGACCCGUGUCUGCCGGUAGAUCCCCUGCUUUCGUGCGGCCGACUACCGGUGCCGUGUCUCUUCGUUCUUGUGGCUUUGUGUUACUGUUGACUUUCUAGUGCUUGCGUGCAUGUACCCAAACUAAGGGAAUUGGUGCUACGUACAAGUUGCCUCGCGGUGGACGCCUUCGGGUGUGCUGCUGCGGCCAAAUGGCGUUUGCGGCGUUGCCUCGUUACGCUGCCAUGUUUACAUGGUUGCUGUUAUCAAGGCAACCUCGCUCCUGCUGUUGGUCUCGGAUGUUGCCCACGAUGAAGUGUCAUGGCCCUAUUUGGUGGCCUAGACCCGACCCUUACAAGCUCUCCGAAUUGAGAACAACCGUAACAGGUGUUGCCUCUACCUAUUCCGCAGUUAGUGGUAGGAUACGCAACAUUUUGUGCCGAUCCUCAAAUAAGUAGGAUGAGCUUAGCCCGCUCAAUUGUGACAACCGGCCCGGGGAUUGCUUCUGGCUUGACACGCAAGUGGAUGGACGGACGACUCCGGACGNUGGAUGUCAACAAGGACGUGCUACCUGGUUGAUCCUGCCA